CGUUAGUACCUCAAUUUUGUAAAUAGCUGUAAAUAGAUUUGUCAAGUAGCAAUCGUGCAUUUUGUUCACCUUGUAUAUAUUCUUCACUGCAGCAGCCUAGUAGGCGUGAGAAGCCAUUUUUGUUGAUUAAGUUUUCUCCUGUUUUUCAUUUAGGAAGUUAGGUAAGUGAAUUGU